GUCUCCUCUCCCUUUUCUCAUUUUAAUUUGUUGUCUCAGGUUUGCUAGGCUGUGGAUUCUGGACAAGAGAACAGGAUCUGCUAGAAAAGCAAGGGAAAUACGAUGGAGGUGCUUGGGGCAGUGCUGAUGCUCAGGCAAACGCUCCUACAGCAGAGUGAGCGCACAGGUCCUCCUGUGCCUGGAUCCUUGGUCCAAGUCUCCUCACGCGGCUCAACUUUACGUCUGUGUCAGAAGAACGUCAAGACCAAUUGCCACUUCUUUUUUUUCUCAGAGUCCUCACCCAACAUAAGGCUUCCAAGAUGACAGAGAACAGGAGGUUGCGAUGACUACUGUUGAGACCAUUGUCAAGGGAAAGUCCUUUUCUUUUGAAGACCACUUGGAUGCUGACAUUUGCUGGAAGUGCCUAGAUUACUGCGAAGGCUUGGCUGGGUUUAUGGUUGACAAAACAUCUUUUGGUGACAUCAGAAGGGACCUACUGGUGUCCGCGUGGGCAGAAGAGAGUAGUACUACUGCUUUGAGAUAGCCAGUUGAAAGCCAGCACCUGCUUCGGUCCACAGGAAGGCAAACUAGCUCCCAUCACACAGGCUAAUGCUUUGUUCUUAGUUGAAAUCUAUACCAAGACUGCUGAGCAUCCUGGAUUCUCCAACUGGGCUGCCACAGGCAGAUUCUGGCUCAGCAUCUCAAUAUGGCAGAGAUCUUCUUCACUGCACAUGUACCCACUGGGAGGACUCAAACCUGGUAUUUCAGAACUCAGGAGAAAAAUUCACACUUUGCAUUUCUCACUGUCACAUGGAGGAGACUGUGACAAGGCCAGCUCUAGUGGCACAGGAUCAUAUGUACAAAUGGAUAUUCUUGAUAAACUUAUAGAAGUGAUGGCACAGACCCAAAGUUCCAAGCACUCCUCACUCUACCCUCAGAAGAUGCAAAGAUGAGUCCAUGCUCCAACUGAUCGCAUCUGGAUUCUAGAGUGUUCUUGAGUGUGUGAAGCUUCAAAGGAAGGAUGUUAAUGUGCUUCGAGGCAGAGGUCAGGAUGUACCUGAAGAAAGGCCUCAUACCAAAAGGUGGAUGUGAUAAGAGACCCAUUAACCAGUAGCAGAGGUCACGUGGCUUGUGUAAAGAGGAGACAUCUGGACCACGCAUGCCCAUUUUAUCACUGGACACCUUUGCAGAGAUUAUGGGGAUGAUCCAGUAACACUGCUUUUGGGUGAGUAGCCGAUGUCUUCACUGGGAUCAGGCAGUCUCCUCACAAAACACUCCAAGAGCUGACAGUAUCUCAUUAGUGGGUACAGUGUCAUUGCAGUGGAGUGUCCCAUUUGUGGACAGUGGAAGUCAAAGUGAUUUAUAGAGAGCAGUUGUCAAGUCAUGGCUGAGUGAGGAACCUGCAUAGGAAAACCCCUUGAGAAGCCUCUCCACAAAGCCAGCCGGUGGGUGACAGUGGCUGGCUCCUUGAUUAGAGGCCAUACAGAGUUGUUUCUGAAUCUAGACUUUGGGUCAUUGGGGGCAGGAGGUAGUUCCUUAUUCAUCGUUCUGUUUUGUUCGAGUUGAGAAACGUGUGUAAGUACACUUUAGACUCAACGAGGAACGUGGGCUUCUUUCACUUCCAGUGCCUGUAGAACCUUCGUCAGCAGCACGCUUGUGGGGAACAGGAAGAGUAGGGCUUUCUUUCUUUCAUACUUU
rnacentral:lncRNA from 1 species